rnacentral:rRNA from 1 species
UACGUAGGGUGCGAGCGUUGUCCGGAAUUAUUGGCGUAAAGAGCUCGUAGGCGGUCUGUCGCGUCGAUCGUGAAAACUUGGGGCUUAACCCUGAGCUUGCGGUCGAUACGGGCAUGACUGGAGUUCGGCAGGGAGACUGGAAUUCCUGGUGUAGCGGUGAAAUGCGCAGAUAUCAGGAGGAACACCGGUGGCGAAGGCGGCAUCCUGGACCGGUAUUGACGCUGAGGCGCGAAAGCCAGGGGAGCAAACGGG